UGUAUGUUCAGAGCAGUCUCACCACUGACUUCAGUUGAAGCUGCAAUUGCUCUGCAAUUCUGCAAAUCAGACCCCAGGGUCUUAAGGUGGUCGCCCAGAAAAUGAGAAACCGACCACCCUUGAAAAGGUUGGUUUAACCGACUCGUCCAUCAUCACAUAGGAACCCUAUGCUCUAUUGGACACAGACUCUACUGCCAUUUCCCACCAGUCCUGACAUCUUUUGUCCUGUCACCAUCCCAGUCUUGUAUCUUCCCACUCUGGCUCCUUGAUCCUGUCCUGUUCUCCUCAACUAGCAGGCUCCAGAGCUGCAGCAUUCUAAAUGAUGGCAUCAUGGGGCUGACAAAGUAACCAUCAGAUUGCAGGUUGGAGAUUACGCUGAGCUUUAAACUGAUGUAUGUAGGUCAGUUGAAGGAAAGAGACAGUGGAGGAAAAGUUUUGUUUGUUCUCAGUGUGAAAGUGGUCCAGGCAGGACUGUUCUUAGGGAACCUGGAACUCAAGAGAAAGAGCCUCUGUGUCCAUAUACCCCACAGAAGACACAGAGCAGACACUGUCUUGAAAUAUAAGACCAAGAGGGAAGGUCUGUGAGAUGGGGAGAAAAUGUUUUAAACGUCUGACUGACAGCUGCACAUCAACAUAUUAUGAAGCGACUCCACAGUUAUUAUUUGCAAGUCCCUACUAACAAAAGAGGAAACUAAUUAUAUAAUGGGACACAAGGAAAUUGACUAUGCACGAAGUAAACAAACUGGAAAUAGAGAAAAAUAAUUCUAGUCAAUUUCAUCUACAGUAAUUGUAGAUGCUACUUGAAACAAUAGCAGUGGUACAGUGAUGCAGAGUUGGUGGGACUUACGUUGUGCAACUGCGCCUUGAAUGCGGUAUCCAAGAAUGAUGGCGGC